AAUGAGGACUAGAAUCAACGGCACCACGAGGAUCCUACUGUCUCCCCACUCCAAUCAGUGAAACUGAUCUCCCCGUGAAGAAGCGGGGAUAUAAAUAUAAGACGAGAAGACCCCAUGGAGCUUUAAACCUACAACACCCGUUUAUCUUUCACCUUAGCAUUCAUUAGGUCCUGUUUGUUUGGUUUUAGGUUGGGGUGACCACGGAGUAUAAAAUAACCUCCAAGAAAAAUGGAUCAACAAUCCUUAUCAAAGAACUACAAUUCUAUGAAUUAAUAAAUUAAUUUUUAAUGACCCGAUAUUUAUUCGAUCAACGAACCAAGUUACCC
rnacentral:rRNA from 1 species